CAGGAUGAACGCUAGCUACAGGCUUAACACAUGCAAGUCGAGGGGCAGCGGUAUCGAAAGCUUGCUUUCGGUAGCCGGCGACCGGCGCACGGGUGAGUAACGCGUAUCGAACCUGCCUCAUACUCGGGAAUAGCCUUGCGAAAGUAAGACUAAUACCCAAUGAUAUCUCUAGAAGACAUCUGAAAGAGAUUAAAGAUUUAUCGGUGAUGGAUGGGGAUGCGUCUGAUUAGCUUGUUGGCGGGGUAACGGCCCACCAAGGCUACGAUCAGUAGGGGUUCUGAGAGGAAGGUCCCCCACAUUGGAACUGAGACACGGUCCAAACUCCUACGGGAGGCAGCAGUGAGGAAUAUUGGUCAAUGGACGAGAGUCUGAACCAGCCAAGUAGCGUGCAGGAUGACGGCCCUAUGGGUUGUAAACUGCUUUUAUAAGGGAAUAAAGUGAGUCUCGUGAGGCUUUUUGCAUGUACCUUAUGAAUAAGGACCGGCUAAUUCCGUGCCAGCAGCCGCGGUAAUACGGAAGGUCCGGGCGUUAUCCGGAUUUAUUGGGUUUAAAGGGAGCGUAGGCCGGAGAUUAAGCGUGUUGUGAAAUGUAGAUGCUCAACAUCUGCACUGCAGCGCGAACUGGUUUCCUUGAGUACGCACAAAGUGGGCGGAAUUCGUGGUGUAGCGGUGAAAUGCUUAGAUAUCACGAGGAACUCCGAUUGCGAAGGCAGCUCACUGGAGCGCAACUGACGCUGAAGCUCGAAAGUGCGGGUAUCGAACAGGAUUAGAUACCCUGGUAGUCCGCACGGUAAACGAUGGAUGCCCGCUGUUGGUCUGAAUAGGUCAGCGGCCAAGCGAAAGCAUUAAGCAUCCCACCUGGGGAGUACGCCGGCAACGGUGAAACUCAAAGGAAUUGACGG
rnacentral:rRNA from 1 species